UACGUAGGGUGCGAGCGUUGUCCGGAAUUAUUGGGCGUAAAGAGCUCGUAGGCGGUCUGUCGCGUCUGCUGUGAAAUCCCGAGGCUCAACCUCGGGCUUGCAGUGGGUACGGGCAGGCUAGAGUGCGGUAGGGGAGAAUGGAACUCCUGGUGUAGCGGUGGAAUGCGCAGAUAUCAGGAAGAACACCGAUGGCGAAGGCAGUUCUCUGGGCCGUGAACUGACGCUGAGGAGCGAAAGCGUGGGGAGCGAACAGG
rnacentral:rRNA from 1 species